rnacentral:rRNA from 1 species
GUGGGGAAUAUUGGACAAUGGGCGCAAGCCUGAUCCAGCCAUGCCGCGUGAGUGAUGAAGGCCUUAGGGUUGUAAAGCUCUUUCAGUAGGGAAGAUAAUGACGGUACCUACAGAAGAAGCCCCGGCUAACUUCGUGCCAGCAGCCGCGGUAAUACGAAGGGGGCUAGCGUUGUUCGGAUUUACUGGGCGUAAAGCGCACGUAGGCGGAUUGGUCAGUUAGAGGUGAAAUCCCGAAGCUCAACUUCGGAACUGACUUUAAUACUGCCAGUCUCGAGUCCGGAAGAGGUGAGUGGAACUCAUAGUGUAGAGGUGGAAUUCGUAGAUAUUAGGAAGAACACCAGUGGCGAAGGCGGCUCACUGGUCCGGUACUGACGCUGAGGUGCGAAAGCGUGGGGAGCAAACAGGAUUAGAAACCCCGGUAGUCC